CAACACAAUGGCUGUGUUUUUGCAACAGUUCAGUAAGUCAUGGAUGCUUUCUGGAAUGGAGAGCUGCAUACUGACAAAAGAGAAAUCCAAGGACUGAAGAAAGAAACAAGUUUACUAGAUACGCUUUGUAGCCCAAGUUUCCUGAGAAAGCAAGUUUUUAUCCUACAGGACCAGCUAUUAGCGAGUGAUAAGUUAAAGACAACACCAACCAAAGGUCAGGAGUAUAUUCUCCUAGAGCUAUUUCAUAUCCAAUCCAGAGAUUUACUCUUGCUCCAUUUACUCGGAGGAAUUAAAAGCAAGUGAAGGUAGGGUUAUGCACACCUGAUAACAUCAGGAACACACCUGAAAAUGGAGUGGUGAAUGAGUACUUCUGGCCUGAUUGACCUCAGCCAGCUGGGUAUUGACCUGUUUUAGCUGAAAUAAACCUGAAAAGAAGCACUCUAAGCA
rnacentral:lncRNA from 1 species